UCCUUCUCUCCUUAGUGCAGCCAAAACGUGAACCUCUCUCCCUCUCUCAAACUCCAUUAAACCUCACUUCUCAAGCUUAAUUUCUCCCUUGUUUCACCACAAAACCCUAACCUCUCUUCAUUAAAAUUUUACUACACACCUUAAACAACCUUUUGGCAGCCUUGAAAGUGAAGGAAAGUGAAGUUUAGAGGUGGGAAAAAUCUGCCCUAAGUGAGGUACUGGAGAUCCCGAUCGUGAGCCCAGUAGACCACAGACUGGGUGAGUCCAUCUGACAGUUCUGCUCAGUGUCUGUGUCACCUCACUACCUGCAGUGCAUCGGUAGGGCACUAGGUGUCAGUUUGUCAUUUUGAUAUUUUGUAGUAGAUUUGUAUUUUCUCAUAUGUAUUUGAUCUCAUGUAAUAUAUUUUGAUGUAUAUGUAAAUUAUGAAAAUUGUAUUUGUUAAUGGAAAAGUAGAUGUUUACUUGUGAUUUA